rnacentral:rRNA from 1 species
CCUACGGGGGGCUGCAGUGAGGAAUAUUGGUCAAUGGACGAGAGUCUGAACCAGCCAAGUAGCGUGAAGGAUGACUGCCCUAUGGGUUGUAAACUUCUUUUAUAUGGGAAUAAAAUGUUCCACGUGUGGGAUUUUGUAUGUACCAUAUGAAUAAGGAUCGGCUAACUCCGUGCCAGCAGCCGCGGUAAUACGGAGGAUCCGAGCGUUAUCCGGAUUUAUUGGGGGUAAAGGGAGCGUAGGUGGAUUGUUAAGUCAGUUGUGAAAGUUUGCGGCUCAACCGUAAAAUUGCAGUUGAAACUGGUAGUCUUGAGUACAGGAGAGGUAGGCGGAAUUCGUGGUGUAGCGGUGAAAUGCUUAGAUAUCACGAAGAACUCCGAUUGCGAAGGCAGUUCACUAGACUGCAACUGACACUGAGGCUCGAAAGUGUGGGUAUCAAACAGGAUUAGAUACCCGGGUAGUC